UACAGAGGUCUCAAGCGUUGUUCGGAUUUAUUGGGCGUAAAGGGUGCGUAGGCGGCGCGGUAAGUCGGGUGUGAAAUCUCGGGGCUUAACUCCGAAACUGCAUUCGAUACUGCCGUGCUUGAGGACUGGAGAGGAGACUGGAAUUUACGGUGUAGCGGUGAAAUGCGUAGAUAUCGUAAGGAAGACCAGUGGCGAAGGCGGGUCUCUGGACAGUUCCUGACGCUGAGGCACGAAGGCCAGGGGAGCAAACGGG
rnacentral:rRNA from 1 species